rnacentral:lncRNA from 1 species
AUGAAGUGUAAUAAGGAGCAGUGUUCUCCACAUGCCUGUAAUUCAGCUGCCUGGAAACAGGUUCUGCUGAGCCACUGCAGGGCACCAACACAUUCACUGCCAGAGAUGGGUGCAGAUAGAGGAAAGCAACUGCAAACUUGCCAGGUAAACAUCCAUGAGCUGUACUUGUUUGUCCUGCUCCAGGGCCAUCUGUUCUUGCAGCCAGUACUGUAUCUCUGCAGUUCAUCUGGACAGGGCGUUGACGCAGCCUGUGAGGAUGUGAGUGAACCCUCUCACUGCUACUGGUGGUUGCAGAGCUGCAGUCUUUCCCAUCUCAGUCGUCGUUUCACAAUUGUGCUUGGAGCUGAUUAGGAAAACCUUGGAUCGUAAGGCAAAAAAAGCCUUAAAUUGAAGCAUUUCCAGAGAGCAGCACUGGGCCUUGUGGAGAGGUAAGUUGGCUAAAAAUCUGUAUUAUAUUUAAGUGGUAUUCCCUCUACUAAGGAAGACGGAUUUUCCAUCUGUGCUUAAACCACUAAUCUGGUGUGCUGAUGGAGUAAUUCAUUUUUGUAGCACCCUACAAAGGAAGUUCCUUUACUCUGUUUAUCAUUUUGUGUGUUCUGUUUAUUGCUUUCUAUUUACCUGAUUACAAAAUUGACUAAAUUUAUGUUAAGAAUCUAUCCCAGUUACUUUUAAUUGCAACAUUAACUGCUUUGUUUUGACUUAUUUCAUAGGAUUGAAUUAAUAUCUGAAGGAAUUAUAAUAGAGUGUGUUGGUCUUAACAGCAUCUAUGUCAUCUUUAUUUCUAAGAUUGGAUGGAU